AAAAAAGAGAAUUGUUAAUUCGUUUAAAGGAAUAUUUGCGCUAUUAAUAAUGAAAGUCAAAUAAAAAGUCUUAAAUAUUCAGUGACAAUUGCAUGUAUGUAAAAUGUAUAAUACUACAUAUGCAUUUUUUGUGGCUCCAGUCGGACGCUAGCCACACUUUGACCACGUCCUGCGCAUUGACGCA